UACGUAGGGGGCAAGCGUUGUCCGGAUUCAUUGGGCGUAAAGGGUGCGUAGGCGGCGCGGUAAGUCGGGUGUGAAAUCUCGGAGCUUAACUCCGAAACUGCAUUCGAUACUACCGUGCUUGAGGACUGGAGAGGAGACUGGAAUUUACGGUGUAGCGGUGAAAUGCGUAGAGAUGCGGAGGAACACCGAUGGCGAAGGCAGCCCCCCUGGGCCAACACUGACGCUCAGGCACGAAAGCGUGGGGAGCAAACAGG
rnacentral:rRNA from 1 species